rnacentral:tRNA from 1 species
GGGGAUAUGGCUCAGUUGGCAGAGUGCUUGCCCGGAGUGCACAGGCCCUGGGUUCAAUUCCCAGUACCACCA